AACGAACGCUGGCGGCAUGCCUAACACAUGCAAGUCGAACGAGACCUUCGGGUCUAGUGGCGCACGGGUGCGUAACGCGUGGGAACCUGCCCUUAGGUUCGGAAUAACUCCCCGAAAGGGGUGCUAAUACCGGAUAAUGUCUUCGGACCAAAGAUUUAUCGCCUUUGGAUGGGCCCGCGUUGGAUUAGCUAGUUGGUAGGGUAAAAGCCUACCAAGGCGACGAUCCAUAGCUGGUCUGAGAGGAUGAUCAGCCACACUGGGACUGAGACACGGCCCAGACUCCUACGGGAGGCAGCAGUGGGGAAUAUUGGACAAUGGGCGAAAGCCUGAUCCAGCAAGGCCGCGUGAGUGAUGAAGGCCUUAGGGUUGUAAAGCUCUUUUACCCGGGAUGAUAAUGACAGUACCGAGAGAAUAAGCUCCGGCUAACUCCGUG
rnacentral:rRNA from 1 species